rnacentral:misc_RNA from 1 species
UUAGCUUGAUUUGAUAUUCUAGAAGCUUGAGUUUGAUUCGACUUAAUUAAAGUUGAGUUGACUUUUGAAUAUUUUCAUGGUUGAAUCCGAGUAACAUUUUUAAUAAUUCAAUUCAUUUACUCUAAAUUGAAUAGUAAUCAAUAUGUCCAUUUUUGACCGACUAGAAAGCAGUUUAUAAUUAAGAUAUAAUUGUGGAAAAUUUGA